rnacentral:rRNA from 1 species
GACGAACGCUGGCGGCGUGCUUAACACAUGCAAGUCGAACGGAAAGGCCCUGCUUUUGUGGGAUGCUCGAGUGGCGAACGGGUGAGUAACACGUGAGUAACCUGCCCUUGACUUUGGGAUAACUUCAGGAAACUGGGGCUAAUACCGGAUAGGAGCUCCUGCUGCAUGGUGGGGGUUGGAAAGUUUCGGCGGUUGGGGAUGGACUCGCGGCUUAUCAGCUUGUUGGUGGGGUAGUGGCUUACCAAGGCUUUGACGGGUAGCCGGCCUUAGAGGGUGACCGGCCACAUUGGGACUGAGAUACGGCCCAGACUCCUACGGGAGGCAGCAGUGGGGAAUAUUGCACAAUGGGCGGAAGCCUGAUGCAGCAACGCCGCGUGCGGGAUGACGGCCUUCGGGUUGUAAACCGCUUUCGCCUGUGACGAAGCGUGAGUGACGGUAAUGGGUAAAGAAGCACCGGCUAACUACGUG